rnacentral:rRNA from 1 species
UACCAGCACCCCGAGUGGUCGGGACGUUUAUUGGGCCUAAAGCAUCCGUAGCCGGUUCUACAAGUCUUCCGUUAAAUCCACCUGCUUAACAGAUGGGCUGCGGAAGAUACUAUAGAGCUAGGAGGCGGGAGAGGCAAGCGGUACUCGAUGGGUAGGGGUAAAAUCCGUUGAUCCAUUGAAGACCACCAGUGGCGAAGGCGGCUUGCCAGAACGCGCUCGACGGUGAGGGAUGAAAGCUGGGGAGCAAACCGGG